UACGGACCAUCCAAACGUUAUUCGGAAUUACUGGGCUUAAAGGGUGCGUAGGCGGCGCGGAAAGUUGGGUGUGAAAUCCCUCGGCUUAACCGAGGAAUGGCGCUCAAAACUACCGUGCUUGAGGAAGACAGAGGUGAGCGGAACUUAGGGUGGAGCGGUGAAAUGCGUUGAUAUCCUAAGGAACACCGGUGACGAAAGCGGCUCACUGGGUCUUUUCUGACGCUGAGGCACGAAAGCCAGGGUAGCGAACGGG
rnacentral:rRNA from 1 species